AGUGAACGCUGGCGGUAGGCCUAACACAUGCAAGUCGAACGGCAGCACAGUAAGAGCUUGCUCUUACGGGUGGCGAGUGGCGGACGGGUGAGGAAUACAUCGGAAUCUACUUUUUCGGGGGGGAUAACGUAGGGAAACUUACGCUACUACCGCAUACGACCUACGGGUGAAAGCAGUGGAUCUUCGGACCUUGCGCGAUUGAAUGAGACGAUGUCGGAUUAGCUAGUUGGCGGGGUAACGGCCCACCAAGGCGACGAUCCGUAGCUGGUCUGAGAGGAUGAUCAGCCACACUGGAACUGAGACACGGUCCAGACUCCUACGGGAGGCAGCAGUGGGGAAUAUUGGACAAUGGGCGCAAGCCUGAUCCAGCCAUACCGCGUGAGUGAUGAAGGCCUUCGGGUUGUAAAGCCCUUUUGUUGGGAAAGAAAAGCAGCAUGUUAAUACCCCGCUGUUCUGACGGUACCCAAAGAAUAAGCACCGGCUAACUUCGUG
rnacentral:rRNA from 1 species